rnacentral:rRNA from 1 species
UACGAAGGGUGCAAGCGUUAGUCGGAAUUACUGGGCGUAAAGCGUGCGUAGGCGGUCUCUUAAGUCCGUUGUGAAAGCCCUGGGCUCAACCUGGGAACUGCAGUGGAUACUGAGAAGCUAGAGUGUGUCAGAGGAUGGUGGAAUUCCCGGUGUAGCGGUGAAAUGCGUAGAUAUCAGGAGGAAUACCGAUGGCGAAGGCAGGUCUCUGGGCUGACACUGACGCUCAUGCACGAAAGCGUGGGAGCGAACGGG